AGGCUAUUGCUAUCGGGGUCCGAUUCAGCCAUGCUAGUUGUACGGGUUUAGACCCGUAGCAAAUAGCUCCGUAACACGUGGUCAAACUACCCUCUGGACCGGAAUACCCUCGGGAAACUGAGGCUAAUUCCGGAUACUGCUUUCAUGUUGGAACACAGAAAGUCGGAAACGGUCCGCCGCCGGAGGACGUGACUGCGGCCGAUUAGGUAGACGGUGGGGUAACGGCCCACCGUGCCGAUAAUCGGUACGGGUUGUGAGAGCAAGAACCCGGAGACGGUAUCUGAGACAAGAUACCGGGCCCUACGGGGCGCAGCAGGCGCGAAACCUUUACACUGCACGCCAGUGCGAUAAGGGGACCCCGAGUGCGAGGGCAUACAGUCCUCGCUUUUCGUGACCGUAAGAAGGUCUCAGAAUAAGAGCUGGGCAAGACCGGUGCCAGCCGCCGCGGUAAUACCGGCAGCUCGAGUGAUAGCCACUAUUAUUGGGCCUAAAGCGUCCGUAGCCGGCCGAACAGGUCCGUCGGGAAAUCCACCUGCUCAACGGGUGGACGUCCGGCGGAAACCAGUCGGCUUGGGGCCGGGAGACCAGAGAGGUACGUCCGGGGUAGGAGUGAAAUCCUGUAAUCCUGGACGGACCGCCGGUAGCGAAAGCGUCUCUGGAGAACGGACCCGACGGUGAGGGACGAAAGCUUGGGUCUCGAACCGGAUUAGAUACCCGGGUAGUCCAAGCUGUAAACGAUGCUCGCUAGGUGUGGCGUUGGCUACGAGCCAGCGCUGUGCCGUAGGGAAGCCGAGAAGCGAGCCGCCUGGGAAGUACGUCCGCAAGGAUGAAACUUAAAGGAAUUGGCGGGGGAGCACUACAACCGGAGGAGCCUGCGGUUUAAUUGGACUCAACGCCGGACAUCUCACCGGCACCGACAGUGUGCAGUGACAGUCAGUCUGAUGGGCUUACUUGAGCCACUGAGAGGAGGUGCAUGGCCGCCGUCAGCUCGUACCGUGAGGCGUCCUGUUAAGUCAGGCAACGAGCGAGACCCGCGUCCUUAAUUGCCAGCAGCAGCCUUGUGCUGGCUGGGUACAUUAAGGAGACUGCCGUCGCUAAGACGGAGGAA
rnacentral:rRNA from 1 species